UACGAAGGGUGCAAACGUUGCCCGGAAUUAUUGGGCGUAAAGCGCACGUAGGCGGUUUUGCAAGUCGGAUGUGAAAUCCCUCGGCUCAACCAAGGAAGUGCAUCCGAAACUGCUGUGCUUGAGUACUUAAGAGGAUCGCGGAAUUCCCGGUGUAGAGGUGAAAUUCGUAGAUAUCGGGAGGAACACCAGUGGCGAAGGCGGCGAUCUGGGAAGAUACUGACGCUGAGGCACGAAGGCCAGGGGAGCAAACGGG
rnacentral:rRNA from 1 species